UGCAUUGGCCUCCAGGACAUUCUUUGCACCUCCAGGGCUCCAGCUCGUAGCACGCAGCGGCCGUUCAAAGCCUCCUCGCUGCAGGAGGUUUUACGUCGUGUUACGAAUGCAGCAGUGUGGGCUCCGGGCCCCGGGGGACUCUUGUCAACAUCAUUUCCUUCAUCUUUCCCUCUGUUUGUUUUGCGUGAGGCUUAAUAUGGUUUUUGAGCAAGUUGUGACGGGUGAAUAGAGGUGUUGAAUGUGAAGGUUAUUGGUCUGACUUGGACCCGGGAAGGAAGGCUGGGUAAUUGGUUCGCGUUCGGGCGUUGGAGGCGCGCUGUGUAAUGUGCACAUUUCUGGUCGGGGUAGAAGUCAGGUCUGUAAAGACCAAGGUAAUGAGCUCUCUGAAGAGAAGGAAGCUGGAGCUCCCUGGUAGGAAGUCAUUCUUUGAAAUACAAAUGAGGUGAAUUUUGGAGGGGGAUGAGUUUGGUCUCAGAGCUUUGGAGAAAUACCCACGAGCUUCUGAGCGCCGUCUCCCUCCGGUCCUUGUAUGGGGCAGCUGGUUUCGUGGAUACCUUUGUGUGUUGGGCAGGGAAUGGGGCAGUGGGACGUGGGGCAGGCAGCGGGGCGUGCUGGGGACACGCGUGGCUGUGGUCAUCCCCUGAUGAUCCAGGAGAAGGUGAACGUGGCAUGGUUGGUUAAAGCAGGAGUAAGGAUAAAUAUAUACACCCUGAGAUGAGCACAGCAUCCCGUGUGUGCUCCCCGAACGGACACGGCCCGUUCCUCUUCUGGCCUUUAAUGAACCUUGUGCUGCAGCACUGCUCAGAAAUAGCGGAGAGUGGAAAAAGAAUUGUCCAGUUCUAACAGCUGGGUGAUGUUGGCAUGGAGACUUCUCCUCUCAGUCUGGAAAGGGAAGUCGAGUUCACGGGCUUAGAAGUGGCUUCUCCCACUGAGCGGAACACACUCGCAUUCCUGGGAGGAAGAUUAUUGGUUACUUUAAUUAGCUGGUAGCAUUGUGCUUCCCACCUGGGUGUUCUUUAUGGCUUUUCAUUACGGGGGAGCCUGGUGGUUGCGAAUGUUUACAUGUGUCUUGGCAGGUUUUUAUACCGUGCGUUGCAGUGAAAAACUUUACAAUAAACCAUUGUCUCCGCGGAGCCACACUUCAUUUCCUAUUCAAAUUGGUUUGGGGAGGGGUAGGGACGUGAGGGGGAGAAUCGUAACUAAGGGGGAUUUCAGCCCCGCUGUGAGCAGGGAGCAAAUGCAGCGCUGCGUUAGUGGCUGUGAACUCAUCUAUAGCUUUGAACCCCCCCUUCCCCCUCCGUUAGCCCUCUGGGGUAGAAAUCUUUCAAGUUGAAAAUCCUCUUCCUCUCUGCCCAAAGGGGGAAGCGGGAGCGCGGCGCUCGGAGCCGGGCAGGGAGCUCGGCUGCGCGGGAGCAGGAGAGGCAGGUGCUCAUUUGUCUCAAGGCAGCACGGGGCCAUCAAAUUAAUUUUUAAAAUAAAUCAAGCCGGCGUUUAUCUCCCCGUCGCACCGACUCUCCCCUUCGAGGCCUCCUGUUAAAGCGCACGCUCUCUGACCCAGAGCUACCAUCCCUUGACUCCUGUUAGCUGUACUUAACCCCCCACGCUUGUAAAUGUUCCCUCUCUCUGCGGCAGCUGCUCCCUGCGCCGCUCCAGCUCCGCUCCCCAGGGGAGGAUGUUGAGCUGCGUGUUUGAUAUGCAGGGUUGGAUGCUGCGGGAGGGGGGUGCCCACGCUGUGGCCGUGGUUCAGAAGCAUCUCUCCGAGGGGAUGGGUUGCUCUUUAUGUAUAAAAUAGUCUCAUAAGUCUCCCGCUGAGAGAGCGCCGGCACCAAAUGGAUGGCGAGAGCCCUUGGGAUAGCAUAAAAGCUCUGUUUGCCACCUUUGUGUGACAUUAUCAAAUACCUUCCUGGAUCCGAACAGAUGACCAAAAUAAUUGGCUUUUCUAUCUCCUCCUUGACGCGGAGGUCUCAAACUGCCUCGCAAACCAAUUAGCUGAUUAACCCUCCUCUGUUCGAGGCCGGGCUCGGGGAGGUGAAGCGACCGCACCGGGGUCGCUGGGAGCCCAGGGCGCAUCCCUGGGCUGCGGGGAACAAAGGACCCCGGGGAGAGGGGGGGGGGAGGGGUUGUGCACCCAGCCCCCUUCUCCCCAUCCCUGUGUGACUUUUUGGAUGGGACAGGGGGUUCUGUGCCAAGGGGUGGCCCUCAGCAGCGCGCUCCCUGGUUACGGAUCCGCUUGGGGAACUUCACUUCUGCUCCCUGAGCUGCUCGCCUUCCAUUUUGCUGCCGGAGCCCUGCAGCAACACCGGGCUACGAAUGGCAGCACCUCGUGCUGGAGCAUCCCCAGGCCAAACGUGGCUGGGAAGAGUUAACGUUUUAAUGCGUCCAUCCGUCACGGCUGUAGGUUAACACGGCUUUAAUUCUCGUUAAUGAGAGCUUAUUUCUCAUGCGGCAGCUGAGAACCGCUGUGCGCGCUGCCCGCGAUGAGCCGGAGCGAGCCGGCCUGCUGCUGCGUGACGUCGGCGUGGGGAUGGGGGAGAGCAGGGGGCAGGAGAGCAGGGAAAGUUAUGUGUGUGUAUACAAAAUAUCGAAAGGAGAGAGGGAAAACAAUUGGCUUAAUUGUUUGGCCUCCGGCGGGCUCGCGGUAACGCGCUGAGGAGGAAUCCUUCUCCUGGAGGAUUGUUCCGCCCGCGAUCUUUCCAAACGCCGACACCCCCUGCCAACCUCCCUGCAGGAGCAACAGCCACCAAGGGAGCGGGGAGAGGUGGCGGGGAGGAGUGCUGAUGUUGGCAAAGAGGGGAGGGAAGGGAUUGCUGGGAGGGGAGGAUUGCUUCUGCCUGGCACCGGGCACGGGGCCCGACGUGGCUCCGAGCAGCGGGAUGGACUCCCGUGGCCGCUCUGCCCUCAAGAAAUGAGUCUUGCUGUCGCUCUUGCUUGGCCUGAGUGGGCGCGUGCCCCUCUGUAAUUUUCUUUCCCCAAACUUUGCUAUUUCUGGCCGUCGUGGGCUUUGUGUUGCUCUGCUGUGCGCCGGCCGGGCGGUCUCUGCUGGGACACGGAGCAGAGAGGAGCCAGCUCCUCCGGGUUGGAACCCGGCCCCUCCUCUUCCCCCGUUUAAUAUUUUUAGGCAUCUUCAGAGCUGCUUUAGGUAAUUUUCCGAUGGUUUUCUCUCUCCCUCUGAGCUGGACCGGUGAUAACCGAGGCAGCAGCGUUUCUAGAGGGGAGGGAGGACCGCAAACCGCCUUCAUUUUACUUCUUUAAGAAGAGCCGAGACACGUCGCGUGGUUUUUUGCACGUUAGAGAAACUUUUCAGCAGGAAGCAGAAUCUAGGUCAGAAUAAAAGAAUGCAGGCAGAACGUGGAGGGGCAAAGUCAGGACGGUCCCCGUGCACGGGAGCGGGCCUUGCAAGGAGCGUGCUGAACGGCUGCCGGCCCCUGCACACUGCAGGAAUCGCUUCUGGACGGACGAGCAGAUGGCUCCGAGGUGUUCAGUGCCUUUUGGCAUAACUCGUGCUGAACAAGUGGCUGGUAGGGGUGCAUACGGAAAGGGAAGCUUCGGUCUUAGGGGGAAAGAGCGGCGUGGGGACAGCCCCAGGUGCAAUGCUUCUGCAGGUGAACGCUGCUCCACCGCAAGGAUUGAUGGCAGCCCUGGGAAAACUCCCCUCGCUCCGCAGGCUGCCGGGGGCUUUGGCUGCGUGCAGCCCCGCGUGCCCUCCCCGUGCUCAUCUCGCUGCCUCUCCUUCCCCCAGCCCCGCGCGGCGACAUCACCGCUCCCCGAGCGGAGCAGCUGAAUGCGGCCCGCUGGGCUAAGAUAAUGGGAAGUGACAAGGUGAAGAAUAGUGCUGGCAGCCGUGGGCGUUGUGGUGCAAGGGUGCUGCGAGCCCGGCCCCUGCCCCCUCCUGGGUUGCCCUGGAGGGGAGGUUCUGCAUCGCGGCGUGGGCUGCGUGUGCUCCCUGUGCUGUGGGUGGAGGUGGAGGUGGAGGUGGGUGUGCAGCCCGGUUCCUGCAGCUGAGCCGCGGCGCGGACGUGGCUGCGGGACAGAGGGCUCAGCAGAGCCUGAAAUGGACCCGGAGGGCUCCCCAGGGCUGUAAUGCAAUGGGAAGUAAGAUCUGAGGUCACGAGGCAAAUGCCGAGAUGGAGCAGACCUUAUUCUUGGUAUUUUUGUGGUUUUUUUUUUUUUUUUUUUUAA